GUUGCACCAUUGAGAGCAUCUUGACUGGCUGCAUCACCGCUUGGUAUGGCAACUGCUUGGCAUCUGACUGCAAGGCGCUACAUCUCUGUGGCCGAGCUACCUGCCAUCCAGGACCUCUAUACCAGGCGGUGUCAGAGAAAUGCCCUAAAAAUUGAGAAGCGGUACCGAUGCACCAAGUGUGGAACCAACAGGACCCUGAACAGCUUCUACCCCCAAGUCAUAAGACUGCUAAAUAGUUCACCGGGUAGCUAUUGGUUAACUAUCUGCAUUGACCGUUUUUGCACUGUCUUUUGAGUCAUCACAUAUGCUGCUGCUACUGUUUAUUAUCUAUCCUGUUGCCUAUUCACUUUAUCCCCAUCUACAGUAUAUGUACAUAUCUACCUCAAUGUUGGGCUCCCGAAUAGUGCAACAGUCUAAGGCACUGCGUCUCUACAGUCCCUGGUUCGAUUCCAAGCUGUAUCACAACCGGCCGAGAUUGGGAGUCCCAUAAGGAGGCGCACAAUUGGCCCAGCAUUGUCCGGGUUUGGUCAGGGUAGGCCGUCAUUGUAAACAAGAAUUUGUUCUUAACUGAUUUGCCUAGUUAAAUAAAAGUAAAUAAAUACCUAAAUAAGUACCCCUGCACCUCAAUUACCUCGUACUCCUGCACAUCGACUCGGUACUGUUACCCAGUAUAUAUAGCCAAGUUAUCAUUACUCAUUGUGCAUUUAUUCCUUGUGUUAUUUUUUUCUAUUGUUUCAAUUUGUUUCACUGCAUUGUUGGGAAGGGCCAAUAAGUAAGCAUUUCACUGUUAGUCUACACCUGUUGAUUUACGAAGCAUGUGACAAAUAAUGUAUUUUAAUUUGAUUUGAUCUUACGCUGUGGGUGAAGAGUAUCUGCCAUCAUCUCUGGUGGAGUUGUAGCUCAUGUGGAGGAGUUAGAGGUAAAUACAUAAAUCAAUAGUGUAACUGUAGAAAAACAACCCCACUCAUGUCUCACUCCCCUCAGCUGGUCUCAGACCACUUUGAAGUGUUUGUGACAGUAUUACCCAUCCCCCAGUGGGGGAUGGGUAUCAGGAGCCCUGUCUAUCUGCCCUGUCUAUCAGGAGCCAACAAUCUACUCACCCUGACAGCUACAUCUCAGUUUCCCGGAACGGUGUGCAGAUAUCAACAAUGCUUGUCUGUUGAAUUCAUGCCUGUUUGUGAUCAAAUGUCAUUUUCAGGAGUUGAAGUGCAGGUUCAGGUCAAUGCUCCAUCACAAAUAAAUAAAAUAACAUCUGUGGAGUCUAUCGCUGGGAAGUGGACGGAGUGGAACACCACUGUUACCAUGGAGCGCUAACAGCGGACCAGCAGUGGAAGAAGAGGUAAUUACAGGAAGAUUCACCAACCUUCAAAGCCCUGUACUCUCUGGUCAUGGACAAACGCCUGCAGAAUGAUCUCGAUCAGAUGGGACAGUUCAAGCACACAGGAACACUUGAGGUAUUUCACAGUUCUAUGUUGAAAUACUGUCAAAAGCGUCUCCACUUCAAAGACUACAGCAUGAAAGCCCGUACCCAGUUGACAGUUUUGGACCAGAAUGAGAAUCAGAACCGUAAUAGAGGACAAGCCUCAACCAUUGUUGUCAACGUUGGAUUGCCCGGCCAAUAUACCAGCCCACCAGGAAUGACCUGAUUGAGCGCAUCCUCAUGGACAAAUUAGUGAAAUACUGGGAGCCAAAAUCCUGUGGAAGCGGCUGUCGUCUGGCUGCCAACAGCCCCCAUCCCAAACCCCAGCAAGGAGGUGGUUAUUGCAGCACACACAUCAAGACUCAAGGACACUUGGGGGAUUUUCUGACCCCCCCCCCCCCCCAACCUAAUACGAACACACUCCAUUGUAAUAUAAUUUGUUAGCAUCUUAUCCUUAACACUGGAUUUGAUAAAAAUCCAUCUAAUGUAGGCUUCUACUGUAAAUAAAAGCGCCGCCAUACCUACUUUAUACUGUCUAUUUUAACAUUGGUUGAUGUGAAUUUUGAGAAUGCCUUGUCUAUACUGUGUAUUGUUCGUUGUUGUAUUGAACCUUUAUUUAACUAGGCAAAUCAGUUAAGAACAAAUUCUUAUUUACAAUGACGGCCUACCUGGCCAAACCUGGCCAACGCUGCGCUGCCCUAUGGGACUCCCAAUCAUGGCCAGAUGUGAUACAGCCUGGAUUCAAACCAGGGACUGUAGUGACAC
rnacentral:lncRNA from 1 species